AUGGAAGAGAGCUGCAUUUUUCUCUUCCUCCUGUCAGUAACUGCAGGUGUCCACUCCCAGAGUCAGCUACAGCAAUCUGGAGCUGAGCUGGUGAGGCCUGGGGCUUCAGUGAAGUUGCCCUGCAAGGCUUCUGGCUACACAUUCACUGACUAUCGAAUGCACUGGGUAAAGCAGAAUUUUGAGCAAGUCCUGGAAUGGAUUGGAUCUAUUGAUCCUGGAAGUGGUUAUACUGAAUACAAUGAGAAGUUCAAGAGCAAGGCCACAUUGACUGCAGACAAAUCCUCCAGCACAGCCUACAUGGAGCUCAUCAGUAUGACCUCUGAGGACACUUCGGUCUAUUACUGUACAAGACACAGUAGCCUGAGCCAUUGGUAUUUUUUUUUCAGGAACUUGUUUCUUUCAGGAACUGUAUUAGUGUGUUCAUGGACAUUUGAACCAUUCUUUGCUGUCCCUAAGUCUCCUGCAGCAGAGCAUAAGAUAUAG